UACGUAGGUGACAAGCGUUGUCCGGAUUUACUGGGCGUAAAGAGCGCGCAGGCGGUCGAUCAAGUCGAGUGUGAAAGCCCCCGGCUCAACUGGGGAGGGUCAUUCGAUACUGAUCGACUCGAAGGCAGGAGAGGGUAGUGGAAUUUCCGGUGUAGCGGUGAAAUGCGUAGAUAUCGGAAGGAACACCAGUGGCGAAGGCGGCUACCUGGAUUGACACUGACACUGAGGCGCGAGAGCGUGGGGAGCGAACAGG
rnacentral:rRNA from 1 species